UAGCAUGCUACAGAUGAAGCUGACUAGGGU
rnacentral:piRNA from 1 species